UGGGGAAUAUUGGACAAUGGGCGAAAGCCUGAUCCAGCCAUGCCGCGUGUGUGAAGAAGGUCUUCGGAUUGUAAAGCACUUUAAGUUGGGAGGAAGGGCAGUAAGCUAAUACCUUGCUGUUUUGACGUUACCGACAGAAUAAGCACCGGCUAACUCUGUGCCAGCAGCCGCGGUAAUACAGAGGGUGCAAGCGUUAAUCGGAAUUACUGGGCGUAAAGCGCGCGUAGGUGGUUUGUUAAGUUGGAUGUGAAAGCCCCGGGCUCAACCGGGGAACUGCAUCCAAAACUGGCAAGCUAGAGUACGGUAGAGGGUGGUGGAAUUUCCUGUGUAGCGGUGAAAUGCGUAGAUAUAGGAAGGAACACCAGUGGCGAAGGCGACCACCUGGACUGAUACUGACACUGAGGUGCGAAAGCGUGGGGAGCAAACA
rnacentral:rRNA from 1 species